UACGUAGGCAGCAAGCGUUGUUCGGAGUUACUGGGCGUAAAGGGUGCGUAGGCGGUCCUAUAAGUAUGGUGUGAAAUCUCCCGGCUUAACUGGGAGGUGCGCUAUAGACUGUGGGACUAGAGUGUGGGAGAGGAAAGUGGAAUUCCUGGUGUAGCGGUGAAAUGCGUAGAUAUUCGCAAGAACACCAGUGGCGAAGGCGGCUCACUGGUCCGGUACUGACGCUGAGGUGCGAAAGCGUGGGGAGCAA
rnacentral:rRNA from 1 species